AAUAAACCAAUUUUUUACUUUUUACCUUCAAUUUUUUACUCUUCGUCGUAUUUAAAUUUUUUUGCGAUUGAUAUUUUUGUUUUUAUUAGAUGAUAAAUCAUGAAUAGUAUUUUACGUGUAACUAAUUUUUUUUCUAAUUUUCUAAAAAAUUUUCAAAUAAGACAGAUGGUCAAAUGUUGGACACAGAAACUGGAGAAUUCGUUUUUU
rnacentral:pre_miRNA from 1 species